rnacentral:rRNA from 1 species
GUGGGGAAUAUUGGACAAUGGGCGCAAGCCUGAUCCAGCCAUGCCGCGUGAGUGAUGAAGGCCUUAGGGUUGUAAAGCUCUUUCACCGAUGAAGAUAAUGACGGUAGUCGGAGAAGAAGCCCCGGCUAACUUCGUGCCAGCAGCCACGGUAAUACGAAGGGGGCUAGCGUUGUUCGGAUUUACUGGGCGUAAAGCGCACGUAGGCGGUUUGUUAAGUCAGGGGUGAAAUCCCGGAGCUCAACUCCGGAACUGCCUUUGAUACUGGCAAGCUAGAGUCCGGAAGAGGUAAGUGGAACUCCUAGUGUAGAGGUGGAAUUCGUAGAUAUUAGGAAGAACACCAGUGGCGAAGGCGGCUUACUGGUCCGGAACUGACGCUGAGGUGCGAAAGCGUGGGGAGCAAACAGGAUUAGAAACCCUUGUAGUCC